UCAUAUAAACAAAACAAAAUCGUUCUAAGUAUCACCAAAACAUAGUUAUUCCCGAUUAAAAUUGGAUAAAACAAAAUCUCUAAUAUGAAAAUGAAUCUGUGUCAGAGUGUAUGCGUGCCUUUGAGCUUUUUUGGGAACAAAGUACCAGUUUAGGCAUAUUCGCCUAGUCCCGGGGCCCCGGGCAGUGGCUCUCGUGCGAGUGUUUAUCGGUGUUUUUUUAAUGUGCCUGCCACAUAAAUUCCGCAACAUUACACGGCUAAUGAAGUCUAGACGCUGUGGCCGAUCCACCACUUUAUGGAUCGUCUAAAACUUAACUUCGUUGCCCAGUCCCGAGAUGAGUCGCCAAACGUGCUUAAGGUGGAUUAGAGACGAUUUUAAAUCGUACAGGAAAUCCAAUGAUAUAUGGGAAGAAUCUAUGAAAAAUAUUGACAAUUUUUUGUGGAUUUCGAAAGUGGAGCACUAAAUGUAAGCAAAAAUAAGAUAGAAACAAAACCCUAAAAUUAUAUCUUUGAACAAACA